rnacentral:rRNA from 1 species
CCUACGGGGGGCUGCAGUGGGGAAUAUUGGACAAUGGGGGCAACCCUGAUCCAGCCAUGCCGCGUGUGUGAAGAAGGCCCUCGGGUUGUAAAGCACUUUCAGUGAGGAAGAACGCCUGGUGGUUAAUACCCAUCAGGAAAGACAUCACUCACAGAAGAAGCACCGGCUAACUCCGUGCCAGCAGCCGCGGUAAUACGGAGGGUGCGAGCGUUAAUCGGAAUUACUGGGCGUAAAGCGCGCGUAGGUGGCUUGAUAAGCCGGUUGUGAAAGCCCCGGGCUCAACCUGGGAACGGCAUCCGGAACUGUCAAGCUAGAGUGCAGGAGAGGAAGGUAGAAUUCCCGGUGUGGCGGUGAAAUGCGUAGAGAUCGGGAGGAAUACCAGUGGCGAAGGCGGCCUUCUGGACUGACACUGACACUGAGGUGCGAAAGCGUGGGUAGCAAACAGGAUUAGAUACCCGGGUAGUC